rnacentral:rRNA from 1 species
UUGCAGUUAAAAAGCUCGUAGUUGGAUUUCGGAGUGGGCCAGUUGGUCCGCCGCAAGGUGUGUUACUGACUGGUUUGCUCUUCUUCGCAAAGACUGCGUGUGCUCUUGAGUGAGUGUGCGUAGGAUUUACGACGUUUACUUUGAAAAAAUUAGAGUGUUCAAAGCAGGCUAUUGCUUGAAUACAUGAGCAUGGAAUAAUGGAAUAGGACUUUGGUCCCAUUUUGUUGGUUUCUAGGGCCGAAGUAAUGAUUAAGAGGGACAAUUGGGGGCAUCCGUAUUUCGUUGUCAGAGGUGAAAUUCUUGGAUUUACGAAAGACGAACAACUGCGAAAGCACUUGCCAAGAGUGUUUUCAUUAAUCAAGAACGAAAGUUAGAGGAUCGAAGACGAUCAGAUACCGUCCUAGUUCUAACCAUAAACGAUGUCGACUAGGGAUCAGCGGGCGUUAUCGUACGACCCCGUUGGCACCUUACGGGAAACCAAAGUUUUUGGAUUCCGGGGGAAGUAUGGUUGCAAAGCUGAAACUUAAAGGAAUUGACGGAAGGGCACCACCAGGAGUGGAGCCUGUGGCUCAAUUUGACUCAACACGGGAAAACUUACC